AUUGAACGCUGGCGGUAUGCUUAACACAUGCAAGUCGAACGGAAACGAUGGAAGCUUGCUUCCAGGCGUCGAGUGGCGGACGGGUGAGUAACGCGUAGGAAUCUGCCCAGUAGUGGGGGACAACUCGGGGAAACCCGAGCUAAUACCGCAUAAUCCUUACGGGGAAAAGGAGGCCUCUUCUUGAAAGCUUUCGCUAUUGGAUGAGCCUGCGUGAGAUUAGCUAGUUGGUAGGGUAAAGGCCUACCAAGGCGACGAUCUCUAGCUGGUCUGAGAGGACGAUCAGCCACACUGGGACUGAGACACGGCCCAGACUCCUACGGGAGGCAGCAGUGGGGAAUAUUGGACAAUGGGGGCAACCCUGAUCCAGCAAUACCGCGUGUGUGAAGAAGGCCUUAGGGUUGUAAAGCACUUUCAGCAGUGAAGAAAAGCUUAAGGUUAAUACCCUUGAGUGUUGACGUUAACUGCACAAGAAGCACCGCUAACU
rnacentral:rRNA from 1 species